AUUGAACGCUGGCGGCAUGCCUUACACAUGCAAGUCGAACGGCAGCACGGGAGCAAUCCUGGUGGCGAGUGGCGAACGGGUGAGUAAUAUAUCGGAACGUGCCCAGUCGUGGGGGAUAACGCCGCGAAAGCUGUGCUAAUACCGCAUACGAUCGAAGGAUGAAAGCGGGGGAUCGCAAGACCUCGCCCGAUUGGAGCGGCCGAUAUCAGAUUAGCUAGUUGGUGGGGUAAAGGCCCACCAAGGCGACGAUAUGUAGCUGGUCUGAGAGGACGACCAGCCACACUGGAACUGAGACACGGUCCAGACCCCUACGGGGGGCAGCAGUGGGGAAUUUUGGACAAUGGGCGCAAGCCUGAUCCAGCAAUGCCGCGUGCAGGAUGAAGGCCUUCGGGUUGUAAACUGCUUUUGUACGGAACGAAACGGCCCUUUCUAAUACAGGGGGCUAAUGACGGCACCGUAAGAAUAAGCACCGGCUAACUACGUGCCAGAAGCCGCCGUAACAC
rnacentral:rRNA from 1 species